rnacentral:rRNA from 1 species
ACAUUAAAUAGGGAGUCUACGGGUAUAAGAAAACUAUUUUUAUAUUUUAAAAAAUAAGUAGAAAUUUUUGAAUCGAAAAUUUAGAGACGGCUAAAGUCAAUAGUAUCGUGAGAGAAUAGUGAAAUAUUGAAAAUUUAACAAGGUAGAAGCAAAAGUGAAUUUUUGUACCUUGUGUAUCAGGGGCAGUCAAAAUUAUGAAAUUAAUUUUUUUAUCCCGAAAGGAGAUAAGCUAAGUUAUUAAAGGGGGUUUUGUAGCAUGAAAAUCUUAAAUAUUAGCUUAGGGGUGAAAUGCCAGGCGAAUUUUUUGAUAUCUGGUCCUCAAAGAAGUGAAUUUAAUUCAAUUCUAGUAAUAAUAUUAUACUAGAGGUAAAAAUAGGAGGGAAGAGCUUCUUGUUUAAGUUUAAGUAGGUAUAGCGGAGAUAGAUAGUAGUAGUUAUACUAGGCUUAGAAGUAGCUAGGUAAUUAGAGUGUUUUAACUAAUAUUUAGGCGAUAGUUAUUUUUAUCCGCUUACAAGAAUAUUUGAGAAUAUAAAAAAUCUUUGUAUUUGUAGAUAAAAUGAUUUUAUUAGUAUAAAAUUUUAUUAGAUAAAAGAAUAAAAUAGUGAUUAAUAUAUAAGUAUAGUAUUGAUUAGAGCUUAAGGAAUUCGGCAAAUCUAGCUUUUGCCUGUUUAUCAAAAACAUGUCUUUAUGGUGAUUUAUAGAGUCUGGCCUGCCCACUGGAGAAAUCUAAAGGGCCGCGGUAUUUUAACCGUGCAAAGGUAGCAUAGUCAUUAGGCUUUUAAUUGGGGUCUUGUAUGAAUGGCCGGACAAGAAGCUAUCUGUCUCGAGAAUAAAAAUUGAAAUUGACUUUCAGGUGAAAAGGCUUGAAUAUUUUAAAGGGACGAUAAGACCCUAUAAAGCUUAAUAAUUUAUAUAUAUUUAAAUAAUUUGUUAGUAUAAUAUAAUUUAAUUUAUAAAUUAUUUCGUUGGGGCGACGGUAAUAUAAUUUGUAACUGUUUAAGUACUUAAUUCAAAAAUAUUUGUGUUUAGUGAUCUGUUGUUGACAAUUAAAAGUUAAAGUUACUUUAGGGAUAACAGCGUUAUUUAUUUUGAGAGUUCAUAUCGACAAAGAAGUUUGCGACCUCGAUGUUGAAUUAAAAUUUUAUCUCGGCGUAGCAGUUAAGAUAGUAGGUCUGUUCGACCUUUAAAAUUUUACAUGAUUUGAGUUCAAACCGGCGUGAGCCAGGUUGGUUUCUAUCUUUUAGAAAUAGAAAGAUUACUUUAGUACGAAAGGAUUAAGUAGCCGGAAUAAUUUUUAAUCGGGGAUAGACAUU